rnacentral:lncRNA from 1 species
AAUUAGCCAAGUGGUCAGUAAAAAUAAAACACCCCGUUCGCUAGAAAUUCUGGCGGACACAUAUUACAUAAUCGAUCGUGAAAAGGUAACAAGCUCAGAUAGCCUUCUCCUUCUCUGCAGCUUUCCCUCAUGAACCUUAGUUCCAAAUCGAUUGUAGGUCGGCAAUUAGGAGUGCAAAUUGGGACUUUCUAGCUCCAAAUCGACUGUAGAUCGGCAAUUAGGAGUGCUAAUUGGGGCUUGUGCAACCAAAUAUCAUUGGAUGUGAAAACGAUUUAGGGGAAAAGGUAACAAAAAAUUCCUUGUGCCUUCUUCAAAUAUGUAAUUGUUAAGCAUACUAACCAGUUAAUAUGCUGUUUGUGGUGAACGAUGGAGUUCCAAGUCACUGUGUGUGGAUUAAGAUGAUAUAAUCAUAUUUUUUUUUUAAUUUAGGUUUGAUUCUUUGGGAAAUAUACGUACUAAACCAAUGAAACUCAGAACAUAUAACUUAUAGAAAAAGCCAAUUGUUGUUCCAAGUCACUGCCAGGAGACAAUUGUUGUUCUGGCAUUCCACUGAAAAUUCAAUACGGAUUAUGUGAUUGUUCAUCAGAAGUCACCAUCCCUUUGCCUGUAUGUGAUUUUUUCAUCUCUAACAUUUUACACUUCCAAAUUUAUGAUAUUGUUAUCUACUUUUAUUUCUGGGAUUACUCAUUUUUGUGAAAAUUUUAUAGUUUAAGCAUACUUAAUUAUCUCCGUUUCUAAAAUAUAAGAUACUUAUUGACAUUUUGAAGUCUAUUUAAGAUAUUUUCAAAUUCAAAAUGGUAUAGAUUCAAUAAAUUAUAGUCAACUCAUCCUAAAUAUUUAAACUAUCUAAAAAGUAACUAUAAAUUUAUGGUUUCAUAAUUAAUGAAAGGUAGAGAUGUUAUAUGCCAGUUUUUGAUCUAUAUAUAUAUAUAUAUAUAUAUAUAUAUAUAUAUAUAUAUAUAUUGAGAAGGAUUGCUUUGCUUUAAUUUAGGAAAACGACCCAAUAAUAUUCAUCCUUAAUUUUUUGGACUUUCAAACAGGAGAGUAGAUCUUCUGUCCCCAAAUUCUGUUUCCCUUGUGUCCUCUUACUUAAAUUUUGAUACAUGUCUUUUUAUUUAAUUUUAAAAUUAAUUAAUGUUAAGUAAAAGAUUAAGUGUCAAAAUUUAAAUGGAGGGACACAAAGAAACAAAAAAAUUAAGAAUAAUGCUCUCUUCAAAUAGAUCAUAAUAAUAAUAACUACACAAGACUUGUUUUUUAACGUUCAUUUUAAAAAUGAGCGCAUGUUCAGGUGGGUGUGCGGAUUCAGCGGGGUUAAAAAAUAACAAAUAUAAUAAAAUAAAUCAUAAAAUUAAAUAAUCCCCAAAUAUUAUUAUUUACGAUAACUUUUUUUUUUUGAGGUUUCACUACUUGAAAUUAUUGUAAAAAAUUAAUUGCUAAAUUUGUAAAAUUAUAAAAAUUAAAAUAAAAAUUACAACAUAUCCAAUUUUCUCUAAAAUUACAACAUCGAAUCUUCAUAUGACGAAAAUAUUUUAUGAGUAUUUUUUUUUAUGAAAAUUGCAAUAGCAUUUGAUUACAUAAAAUAGAAAUUUUUUGUCUUCAACCAGUCUAAUUUUUGACAUUGAUGAAGAAAGAUACUACUAGUCUGUUUGGUCACUCACCUACUAUUUCCAAUUUUGGUUAAUGGGCCUGUCCAAACUUCAUUUAUUUUUAGGAACAAUUACAUUUUCUAUUACAUUUUAAAAAAUAAUUACAAUAAUAGUGCACUCAUAAAAUAAUUAUAAAAAUAUUACAUUUCCCAUAUUUAUUUACAAAAUUAAUACAUUUAAGUAUCUUUGGCUCACUAUUAUCUUCCGUUAAUUGUGACACACUUUUCUUUUUCCUCUCUUCUAUUUUCCUCUUUCAUAUCUCCAAAAUAAAAACUCCCUGAAUGUAUCCACCAUCCGGCGACCACCGAAACACUUGCUCCAUGAAACAAUAUCCCACCACUUUUAUUUCUCAACCACUGAAACGUUUUUCUUAUAGUAUAUGACUAAAAUACUCCAUGAAACAAUAUCUCACCACUUCUCAACUAAUACCCACCACCACUGAGUCUGACGUCUCCGUUGAAAGUUAUGCUGCCACCGGUAUCGAUGCAUGUGAGGCUUAUGAAUGGAUAUGGGUCGGAUGCAUGAAAUAUGAAGGGUCUUCGUGUGUCAGCAUGAUUUGUUAAAGGAUACAUUUUUGGGCUUUAUUAGCAUUUUUUUGUAAGUUAAAUGUAAUGCAGUUGGGUAGUCAAACCUUUUAUGCAGUGGGUAGCCAAAUCUUCAUACUAAGGUAACCAAUUCAGUUUUAUUAAGUUUUCAAUUUAUUUUGAAUGUGAUGCAGUUGGUAGCCAAACCUUCAUGUUGUUGGUUGCCAAACUUUUAGAUCAAGGUAACCAAUUCAUACUGCAUGUGUGGAGGUAGAUUGGUUACAUUGGUAUAAAGGUUUGGUUACCUUGGUAUAACAGUUUGGUUACCUUGAUACGAAGGUUUGGUUAUCAACAUUACAUUACAUAUCACUCUCUUAUCUCUCUCUUUCCAAUACAGUGUUCUUAUCUAUCUAGUUGUUGAAGCUUGACUAAUAUUUUCUCUGCGAGUCCACUGUAAUAUUUGAAAAUGAAGGUUUCUACUUGAGGUGGCUCGCACCAGAUUACAAUGGCGGCCAAUGCUAUGAUCUCUCUUCGUUAAGAAAGGAAAAGUUUGUAAUUCAUCAAGUUUUAUUUUUAUGUUUCGGAUGUACAAGUAAUUUGUUUUGUUUGGGUUAUUGGACUUACUGACGGACAAUCUGAUCUAUGCUCAUAUUAGUUUAGGUGAAUUAUUAUUUUGAAUUUAAAUUUGUUUUUAUUGUUAGAUCUCAAAUAUUUGAAUUUGAAUUAUUAAUUGUAAUAGUUAUUUCUCCUU